AUGCUAGUCGCACGGGUUUAGACCCGUGGCGUAUAGCUCAGUAACACGUGGCCAAACUACCCUGUGGACGAGGAUAACCUCGGGAAACUGAGGCUAAUCCUCGAUACAGCUUCCGUCCUGGAAUGGUGGAAGCUGGAAACGUUCCGGCGCCACAGGAUGUGGCUGCGGCCGAUUAGGUAGACGGUGGGGUAACGGCCCACCGUGCCAGUAAUCGGUACGGGUGAUGAGAGUCAGAGCCCGGAGACGGUAUCUGAGACAAGAUACCGGGCCCUACGGGGCGCAGCAGGCGCGAAACCUUUACACUGCACGACAGUGCGAUAGGGGGACUCCGAGUGCGAGGGCAUACAGUCCUCGCUUUUCUGUACCGUAAGGAGGUACAGGAAUAAGUGCUGGGCAAGACCGGUGCCAGCCGCCGCGGUAAUACCGGCAGCACGAGUGAUGGCCGAUCUUAUUGGGCCUAAAGCGUCCGUAGCUGGCCAGACAAGUCCGUUGGGAAAUCUGCGCGCUUAACGCGCAGGCGUCCAGCGGAAACUGUCUGGCUUGGGGCCGGAAGACUCGAGGGGUACGUCCGGGGUAGGAGUGAAAUCCUAUAAUCCUGGACGGACCGCCGGUGGCGAAAGCGCCUCGAGAGGACGGACCCGACAGUGAGGGACGAAAGCCAGGGUCUCGAACCGGAUUAGAUACCCGGGUAGUCCUGGCCGUAAACGAUGUCCGCUAGGUGUGGCGCAGGCUACGAGCCUGCGCUGUGCCGCAGGGAAGCCGUGAAGCGGACCGCCUGGGAAGUACGUCUGCAAGGAUGAAACUUAAAGGAAUUGGCGGGGGAGCACUACAACCGGAGGAGCCUGCGGUUUAAUUGGACUCAACGCCGGACAUCUCACCGGCACCGACAGUGUGCAGUGAAGGUCAGUUUGAUGAGCUUACUGGAGCCACUGAGAGGAGGUGCAUGGCCGCCGUCAGCUCGUACCGUGAGGCGUCCUGUUAAGUCAGGCAACGAGCGAGACCCGCAUCCCUAGUUGCCAGCAACACCAUUGGUGGUUGGGUACACUAGGGAGACUGCCGCUGCUAAAGCGGAGGAAGGAACGGGCAACGGUAGGUCAGUAUGCCCCGAAUGUGCCGGGCAACACGCGGGCUACAAUGGCCGAGACAGUGGGAUGCGACUCCGAGAGGAGGAGCUAAUCCCCGAAACUCGGUCGUAGUUCGGAUUGAGGGCUGGAACUCGCCCUCAUGAAGCUGGAUUCGGUAGUAGUCGCGUGUCACUAGCGCGCGGCGAAUACGUCCCUGCUCCUUGCACACACCGCCCGUCAAAGCACCCGAGUGAGGUCCGGAUGAGGCCACCGCACGGUGGUCGAAUCUGGGCUUCGCAAGGGGGC
rnacentral:rRNA from 1 species